rnacentral:rRNA from 1 species
AUGUUUGUGAUGGCUGAUUAUACCAAGUUCCUCCUUUUGUUUCUGCUCUUGAGCUGCUCAUCAUUGUGUUUUGGUUCUGAACCUGAUAUCCGGUGCCUGAUGUCUAUACAACGAUCAGUGAUUGAUCUCAGAGGCGUACUCAAAUCCUCAUGGAAUUUUGCCAAUAGCACCAACGGUUUUGUAUGCCAAAUUACUGGCGUGGAAUGUUGGCACCCCGACGGGAACAAGGUUUAUGCUUGGCGUCUGAGCAAUCUAGGGCUUGAAGGCCCAUUUCCUCAAGGUCUUCAACAUUUCACAAGCUUGAGCAUGCUGGACCUGUCAAGUAACAAAAUUUCAGGACCGAUCCCUGCUGACAUCUCAUGGCAGCUGUCGUAUCUGUCAUCUCUGGACCUUCAAUAA